CAAUCGCCAGGUUGUCCCACACUAUAUAAAGCAACCGACAGCGCAUUAUCAAUCUCUUCAAUUCCAGCUAAGUAACAGCUAUGGCCCGUUAUCUUCUGAACAAACCCUAGACGUGGAUGAUGAACAAAUGGUUAUGCAGAAGGAUUACAAUGUCAAUCUGCAGGGACUUCAAAGGCCUGGAUGAGAAUGAAGUGGUGGGCAUUCUGAUGGGAGGUGUACAACCUUUGCACAGACCAGUGGGAUUGAAAAUUAACCACGGGACAUUCUAAAGUUGUGCCUAUUGGAGGUGUGAUGACCCCAUCAGCGUGGGAUUGAAUGGCUGGUAUGGAGGUACAGUUCUUGGCAACUGGCUCUGGGUAUGUGACCGGCACUGACCAACUACACUUCCAUGGUUAUAUGGCCCUAUUCCAGGGUUUUAAUAAGGUCUUUGGUACACCAAGUUGGAUGAGACCCCAUCUGUACACCAAGGUGUUUCCCUGGCUUGUCACUUGCUUAUCGGUUGCAUCGGGACAUUGUUAGGAGACCUGUUCAGAAUGUGUGAAAUCGUUGGUUGACUAACUGUUCAAUUGUGUGGGACUUUGUCUCAACCUGCAACCAACCUGUCCUGCAUUUCAUCAAUAAAUAUAACAAUCAGUUAGUCAGUGAAUUAGAUUCCAGCUUAACUUAGACCUGGAGGUCUGUUGACAAAUUGCACAAAUGCUUAAAUCUAUCGUAGCUUUGUGAAACUUGCGCAUGCAUGUUUUUUGUCCUGCCAAAACUGGGACUCCUUGAAGUUGAACUUAACAGGUACAUUCUCAUUCAGGGCAAAGCCCCACUUCUGUGAAAUAAUUUGCCAUUAAAAUCUCUUUACAAACAAUGUAAAGAAAGCUACAACCAUG